rnacentral:rRNA from 1 species
GAUGAACGCUGGCGGCGUGCCUAAUACAUGCAAGUCGAGCGAACGGACGAGAAGCUUGCUUCUCUGAUGUUAGCGGCGGACGGGUGAGUAACACGUGGAGAACCUACCUAUAAGACUGGGAGAACUUCGGGAAACCGGAGCUAAUACCGGAUGAUAUUUUGAACCGCAUGGUGCAAAAGUGAAAGACGGUCUUGCUGUCACUUAUAGAGGGAUCCGCGCUGCAUUAGCUAGUUGGUAAGGUAACGGCUUACCAAGGCAACGAUGCAUAGCCGACCUGAGAGGGUGAUCGGCCACACUGGAACUGAGACACGGUCCAGACUCCUACGGGAGGCAGCAGUAGGGAAUCUUCCGCAAUGGGCGAAAGCCUGACGGAGCAACGCCGCGUGAGUGAUGAAGGUCUUCGGAUCGUAAAACUCUGUUAUUAGGGAAGAACAUAUGUGUAAGUAACUGUGCACACCUUGACGGUACCUAAUCAGAAAGCCACGGCUAACUACGUG